rnacentral:sRNA from 1 species
GUUCAGGGGUUUCGCGAAACGUGACACUCAACCAGUAUAUAGGUUUUAAUGCACUCGCAGUCGCAGCGCAGUCGCGGCGCAGCAGCAGCGAAUUCGAGUGCGAGGCGAAGCAGCGCGGCAAAGAAGAAGUUAUCUCUCGCUGGCCGCGCUUUGCUCAUUAUUCGCAUUUAUGCUUUCCCGGCGGCCACUGCAAGUGCACUCAAAAUCCAACAGCCAACUCGACCGAUCCACCGUUC